GUCAAAUCAUCAUGCCCCUUAUGACCUGGGCUACACACGUGCUACAAUGGGUGGUACAAAGGGCGGCAAACCCGCGAGGGGGAGCGAAUCCCAAAAAGCCACUCUCAGUUCGGAUUGCAGGCUGCAACUCGCCUGCAUGAAGCCGGAAUCGCUAGUAAUCGCGGAUCAGCAUUGCUGCGGUGAAUACGUUCCCGGGUCUU
rnacentral:rRNA from 1 species